GGGUUGUGAGGUUAAGCGACUAAGCGUACACGGUGGAUGCCCUGGCAGUCAGAGGCGAUGAAGGACGUGCUAAUCUGCGAAAAGCGUCGGUAAGGUGAUAUGAACCGUUACAGCCGGCGAUGUCCGAAUGGGGAAACCCAGUGCAAUUCGUUGCACUAUCGUUAACUGAAUACAUAGGUUAACGAGGCGAACCGGGGGAACUGAAACAUCUAAGUACCCCGAGGAAAAGAAAUCAACCGAGAUUCCCCCAGUAGCGGCGAGCGAACGGGGAGCAGCCCAGAGUCUGAAUCAGCUUGUGUGUUAGUGGAACGGUCUGGAAAGUCCGACGGUACAGGGUGAUAGUCCCGUACACCAAAAUGCACAGGUUGUGAACUCGAAGAGUAGGGCGGGACACGUGGUAUCCUGUCUGAAUAUGGGGGGACCAUCCUCCAAGGCUAAAUACUCCUGACUGACCGAUAGUGAACCAGUACCGUGAGGGAAAGGCGAAAAGAACCCCGGCGAGGGGAGUGAAAAAGAACCUGAAACCGUGUACGUACAAGCAGUGGGAGCACCUUCGGGUGUGACUGCGUACCUUUUGUAUAAUGGGUCAGCGACUUAUAUUCUGUAGCAAGGUUAACCGUAUAGGGGAGCCGCAGGGAAACCGAGUCUUAACUGGGCGUUAAGUUGCAGGGUAUAGACCCGAAACCCGGUGAUCUAGCCAUGGGCAGGUUGAAGGUUGGGUAACACUAACUGGAGGACCGAACCGACUAAUGUUGAAAAAUUAGCGGAUGACUUGUGGCUGGGGGUGAAAGGCCAAUCAAACCGGGAGAUAGCUGGUUCUCCCCGAAAGCUAUUUAGGUAGCGCCUCGUGAAUUCAUCUUCGGGGGUAGAGCACUGUUUCGGCUAGGGGGUCAUCCCGACUUACCAACCCGAUGCAAACUACGAAUACCGAAGAAUGUUAUCACGGGAGACACACGGCGGGUGCUAACGUCCGUCGUGAAGAGGGAAACAACCCAGACCGCCAGCUAAGGUCCCAAAGUCACAGUUAAGUGGGAAACGAUGUGGGAAGGCACAGACAGCCAGGAUGUUGGCUUAGAAGCAGCCAUCAUUUAAAGAAAGCGUAAUAGCUCACUGGUCGAGUCGGCCUGCGCGGAAGAUGUAACGGGGCUAAACUGUGCACCGAAGCUGCGGCAGCGACACUAUGUGUUGUUGGGUAGGGGAGCGUUCUGUAAGCCUGCGAAGGUGGCCUGUGAGGGUUGCUGGAGGUAUCAGAAGUGCGAAUGCUGACAUAAGUAACGAUAAUGCGGGUGAAAAGCCCGCACGCCGGAAGACCAAGGGUUCCUGUCCAACGUUAAUCGGGGCAGGGUGAGUCGACCCCUAAGGCGAGGCCGAAAGGCGUAGUCGAUGGGAAACAGGUUAAUAUUCCUGUACUUGGUGUUACUGCGAAGGGGGGACGGAGAAGGCUAUGUUAGCCGGGCGACGGUUGUCCCGGUUUAAGCAUGUAGGCGGAGGUUCCAGGUAAAUCCGGUACCUUUUAACGCUGAGGUGUGAUGACGAGGCACUACGGUGCUGAAGUAACAAAUGCCCUGCUUCCAGGAAAAGCCUCUAAGCAUCAGGUAACAUUAAAUCGUACCCCAAACCGACACAGGUGGUCAGGUAGAGAAUACCAAGGCGCUUGAGAGAACUCGGGUGAAGGAACUAGGCAAAAUGGUGCCGUAACUUCGGGAGAAGGCACGCUGAUAUGUAGGUGAAGCCCCUGCGGGUGGAGCUGAAAUCAGUCGAAGAUACCAGCUGGCUGCAACUGUUUAUUAAAAACACAGCACUGUGCAAACACGAAAGUGGACGUAUACGGUGUGACGCCUGCCCGGUGCCGGAAGGUUAAUUGAUGGGGUUAUCCGUAAGGAGAAGCUCUUGAUCGAAGCCCCGGUAAACGGCGGCCGUAACUAUAACGGUCCUAAGGUAGCGAAAUUCCUUGUCGGGUAAGUUCCGACCUGCACGAAUGGCGUAAUGAUGGCCAGGCUGUCUCCACCCGAGACUCAGUGAAAUUGAACUCGCUGUGAAGAUGCAGUGUACCCGCGGCAAGACGGAAAGACCCCGUGAACCUUUACUAUAGCUUGACACUGAACAUUGAGCCUUGAUGUGUAGGAUAGGUGGGAGGCUUUGAAGCGUGGACGCCAGUCUGCGUGGAGCCAACCUUGAAAUACCACCCUUUAAUGUUUGAUGUUCUAACGUUGGCCCCUUAUCGGGGUUGCGGACAGUGUCUGGUGGGUAGUUUGACUGGGGCGGUCUCCUCCCAAAGAGUAACGGAGGAGCACGAAGGUUAGCUAAUCCUGGUCGGACAUCAGGAGGUUAGUGCAAUGGCAUAAGCUAGCUUGACUGCGAGCGUGACGGCGCGAGCAGGUGCGAAAGCAGGUCAUAGUGAUCCGGUGGUUCUGAAUGGAAGGGCCAUCGCUCAACGGAUAAAAGGUACUCCGGGGAUAACAGGCUGAUACCGCCCAAGAGUUCAUAUCGACGGCGGUGUUUGGCACCUCGAUGUCGGCUCAUCACAUCCUGGGGCUGAAGUAGGUCCCAAGGGUAUGGCUGUUCGCCAUUUAAAGUGGUACGCGAGCUGGGUUUAGAACGUCGUGAGACAGUUCGGUCCCUAUCUGCCGUGGGCGCUGGAGAAUUGAGGGGGGCUGCUCCUAGUACGAGAGGACCGGAGUGGACGCAUCACUGGUGUUCGGGUUGUCAUGCCAAUGGCAUUGCCCGGUAGCUAAAUGCGGAAGAGAUAAGUGCUGAAAGCAUCUAAGCACGAAACUUGCCCCGAGAUGAGUUCUCCCUGAGACUUUAAGUCUCCUGAAGGAACGUUAAAGACGAUGACGUUGAUAGGUCGGGUGUGUAAGCGUAGCGAUACGUUGAGCUAACCGAUACUAAUGAACCGUGAGGCUUAACCUUACAACGCCGAAGCUGUU
rnacentral:rRNA from 1 species